UUUUCUGUGUUGGUGUUGUGUACUCAGGUGAAUAUGAUGUUUGUGAUGGUAAGUCAGAGUAACAUCAGAGUAACAUCACAAACAUCAUAUUCACCUGAGUAUACACAACAUCAACACAGAAAA